AUUGAACGCUGGCGGCAGGCCUAACACAUGCAAGUCGAGCGGAUGAAGGGAGCUUGCUCCUGGAUUCAGCGGCGGACGGGUGAGUAAUGCCUAGGAAUAUGCCCGGUAGUGGGGGCUAACGUCCGGAAACGGGCGCUAAUACCGCAUACGUCCUGAUGGCGCAAGAGGGGGAACCUCCGAACUCAGGCUAUCAGACGAGCCUAGGUGGGAUUAGUUAGUUGGUGGGGUAAAGGCCUACCAACGCGACGAUCCGUAACUAGACUGAAAGGAUGAUCAGUCACCCUAGAAGUGAGACACGGUGCAGACUCCUACGGGGGGCAGCAGUGGGGAAUAUUGGAGAAGGGGCGAAAGCCUAAUCCAGCAAUGCCGCGUGUAUGAAGAAGGUCUGCGGAUUGUAAAGCACUUUAAUUUGGGGGGAUGGAAAGUGAGUUAAUACGUUGCUAAUUUGACGUUACCAACAGAAUAAGCACCGGCUAACUACGUG
rnacentral:rRNA from 1 species